rfam:Schistosoma rodhaini strain Burundi genome assembly, scaffold: SROB_scaffold0016961
AUCCAGCUGACGAGUCCCAAGUAGGAAGAAACGCUCGUCCUGGAU